UACGUAGGGUGCGAGCGUUAAUCGGAAUUACUGGGCGUAAAGCGUGCGCAGGCGGUGAGCUGUGUCCGAUGUGAAAGCCCCGGGCUUAACCUGGGAAUGGCAUUGGAAACUGGCUCGCUGGAGUGUGGCAGAGGGGGGUGGAAUUCCGCGUGUAGCAGUGAAAUGCGUAGAGAUGUGAAGGAACACCGAUGGCGAAGGCAGCCCCCUGGGUCAACACUGACGCUCAUGCACGAAAGCGUGGGGAGCAAACAGG
rnacentral:rRNA from 1 species